rfam:Pan troglodytes isolate Yerkes chimp pedigree #C0471 (Clint) chromosome Y, whole genome shotgun sequence.
AAGAGACCUUUAAGACAGCUGGUCAUUAUGCCAACCGGGUGUCCGUACUAAGUUCGGUAUCAGUAUGGUGACCUCCUGGGAACGGGGCUAUCGGGUUGCCUAAGGAUGGGAGAACUGGCCCAGGUCAGAAAGGGAGCAGGUCAGAAUUCCUGCACCAGUCGGUAGUGGGACUGUGCCUGGGCAAUAUAGCAAGAUUUUGGUUCUU